UAUAUAAUUUUAUGUAUACUUUUAGGUGCACAUUGAAAGAAAAUUGUACUCAUUCAAACAGCAUAAAGGGUUGGUAUAAUAUUUCACAUGCACCUGAUAAAGAUCUGAAAAUCCAGCUAAGUUUCCCUGCCAGAUAUCAGGUUGCUAUGUCUGCAAGUAUAAACAAAAUCCUUACUUCCUGUAUGAUAAAGAUUAUAACACCUGCUGAAAUAUUUUACGAAAAUGUGAUACUGAAAAACUCAUCCUGUUUGUGCAAUCUGACCACUGUGGUGAUAACUGAUAAUGAUUGUCUUGUUAUCGAAGCAUCGCUGUCCUCAAGCUCUUGGAAUAUCACACAAACAUUUCAGUUGAAAAACUGCUUACAAUGUAUACACAAGGGUCAAUGUGACAGCUGUAAAUGGACGCGUGUCUCUCCUGCCACCACCUGCCAGGUGAAGUUUCCUGGGAAGGGCUGGGAUCCCCUGUGAUGCCUUUUCCUUGUGUUUCUUACAUCUGAGCAGCAAUCUCUCUCUUCCUUGUCCUGACGUGGAGAAAUGCUGAUUUUUUUUUUCAGGAUAGUUGUAAUGCAGCUGCUUCCAAGGGGAUCACCACUGCACAGAAAACAGAGGUUAGUUAGCGUCUUAAGAUUGGCAAUAUUGUGUUUCUGUGGGUUGGGGGAGAAAUGUAUUUAAAAUUAUUAGACUCUGUAGCAGGAGUAG
rnacentral:lncRNA from 14 species